CAGGAUCUUCUGGGAUUCCCCAGGGGGAGCCAGAGGACUCACACCCAUUUAACUGAUGCAGCCCUCUUCUCAGAUGGUGGACUUGCCCUCCCCGGCUCCUGGGACUCAGGCCUUCUACGAUUUCACACCACUCUGGAAGUCAUGCCAAAGACAUGCUGACUGUGAACAUCUCCUCUGACAUAUGUCACAGGGAGGUGAUCAAGUUACUGGAUGACCUGGUUAUUGGCAAAUGCACUGUUUAUGAGGAAAGCCCCUCAUAGUGGACAUCGUGUUUUAAUUUCUCGCCCAACAGGAGCAACAGCGUCAUCAUCAACUACAGCUGAGCUGGGCUGAUUGACAUGUGGAAAUUAAACAUCUGCGGGCUGCGGUGGACCACAUCAGUCACACCCAGGUAUGGAAUUAGCAAGGAACCUCUGCCCGUCAUAGUCACAUUGGGACCAAGUGUAGCAGAACAGCCAGGAUCUCGAAUGUCGUUAGUCACGGUGCCAGAAGGAAAGGAGCUCUGGAGAGAUUCCCAUCUGCAAUUGAAAGCAUCCUUUUCCAUGAAUGUGUAACACGCAUAUCCCUAUUUAGAGGGCUGGGAAGUUGAAAUUUUCAACAAAGCAAACUUGAAAAACAAAGAAGAGGAAAUGAGUAAUUAAAUUUUUUGACAAAAAAUGAUGAUAUAUUAGCAGAUAUU